rnacentral:rRNA from 1 species
UACGGAGGGUGCGAGCGUUGUCCGGAAUCACUGGGCGUAAAGGGCGCGUAGGCGGCCUGGUAAGUAGGGGGUGAAAUCCUGCGGCUUAACCGCAGGGCUGCCUUCUAAACUGUCAGGCUCGAGCACGGUAGAGGCAGAUGGAAUUCCCGGUGUAGCGGUGGAAUGCGUAGAGAUCGGGAGGAACACCAGUGGCGAAGGCGGCGACCUGGGCCAAUACUGACGCUGAGGUGCGAAAGCGUGGGGAGCAAACAGG